AUGAGAUUCAAGCAUCAAAGUCCAGAGGUGGACAUUUUGUGCAAUCCCAUGGAAGCCAAUGCAUGGAAAAUCACAUGACCAAUGGCUGCAGGACUGUAUGUUAGCGAAGCUGGCCUACCUGUAUCUGGACCACAGAGGGGUGACCCUGGGGAGAAUUAUGAACCAUGAUUGUGUCUAGAAUGUUACUUGAAGCUUGAGUUGUCCUUUCUGUGGAAGAAUUUAUCAAAGAAAAAUGAUCCAUCGUCUUCACUGCCUCAAGGGAUAAACUGGGUGUAGAUUCCAGCAGAGUUGCUGAGUAUAAACCCAGUUAUCUUAUCACCAUGUCCAACAAAAGCCAAGCCAGCAAAGAAGAAUUUGUGGGGAUGAUUGGGUUACCCUUGAGUACUAUUUACUGUGUAACAUAUUCUUAGGCCUCUAUACAUUGGAAAGGCAGGGAGAAGCAGUUGGCAU